rnacentral:rRNA from 1 species
UACGUAGGUGGCAAGCGUUGUCCGGAAUUACUGGGCGUAAAGCGCGCGCAGGCGGUCCCUUAAGUCUGAUGUGAAAGCCCACGGCUCAACCGUGGAGGGUCAUUGGAAACUGGGGGACUUGAGUGCAGAAGAGGAAAGUGGAAUUCCAUGUGUAGCGGUGAAAUGCGUAGAGAUGUGGAGGAACACCAGUGGCGAAGGCGACUUUCUGGUCUGUAACUGACGCUGAGGCGCGAAAGCGUGGGGAGCAAACAGG